ACUGGGGCACCGAGAGGCGGCCGCGGACGACGGCGCGGGGGCCGGGGAGCAGGCGGCGGGCCGGGCGCGACCGCGGGGACACUCACCGUUUGGGGCGCGCGGGGCGGCCUCAUCCAGGGCACCUGCGGCCAGGCAGGACGGGCCCGGACGGCGCAGUCACCGACAGGGCGAGUCCGCCUGCCCUCCGGUGCGUCCCGUCCCCUCCGACUGCCCAGCGAGCGCAGCGUCGCUUCCUCCGGACGGAGCCCGGGGACCCCAGCUCCGCCGGAUGCCCCCGCCAGGCCCCCACCCCCUUCCCUGCCGCCUCCCCUUCUUCACCCGUUUCCCCUCCCCCCUCCCCCCAACCCCCACCAGAAUGGAAAAUACCUCCCGGGGCGGGGGGCGGGGGGCGGGCAGGGGCACGCCUCUCUGAAGGGCAGCCUACCGUGACCAAUAGCAGGCAGGGCUUUAGAGGGGCGGGAUUCCUAGCGGCCAAUCCGGAGGCGGGUAGGUGAAGGCCGAAGGAGGGAGGCAGGGCGCGAGACGGGGGCGGCCCGGGAGUCGGGGAGGUCCGGCCGCUUGGGUGCGCGCUCUGCGCGGCUGCCAUUUUGGAGUCUGGCAGCUGCGACGGGCGCCGUGUCCGGCCGGGGAAAGGGAGGAGCCAGUCAGUCUUAGGGAGAAGGAGAGGAAAGUGCUGAAUGGAGGGCGUGAGUGCCGAGUAGGAAAAUGUGAAUGAGUCUCUCCAGCGCCCUUCAGCAUGGAGCCACCCAGUUAGCAAGUUCCAAGAUCCACGGGAAACCGGGCACCUCCUGCAAUUCAAGUAUUCCUAUCCCCGCCCCCAGCUGCCACAAAAAUGACUCACAAAUCGGAGGGAGGGGUGUCGGUCUCCGUCGUUUUGUCUGCAUUUUAUAUGGAAGGGCCCCCUCCCUGGAAAUGGCUGAAAGGGUGGAGGAAGAGAAGCAUAGUUCACGCCUGCAAGGGCUCUUCCCGCUGGCUUUUUUUUUUUUUUUUUUUUUGGUAGACAGUGUCUUCCUGUGUUGCCCAAGCUAAUCUCGAACUCCUGGGUUCCAGGGAUCCUCCUACCCCGGCCUCCCCUCCCAAAGUGCUGGGGUUACAGGCGUGAACCACCAUGCCCGGCCCCACUAGUGUUUUAGAAACCUUGUCGUCGUUCACAAACGUACCGGUCACUUCUUAAGUGUUAGACAUAACCUUGAUCAUGUUCCAGCGCCUCAACUUAAUAAACCAAAAAGCUCUCCUG
rnacentral:lncRNA from 1 species